ensembl:lncRNA
GUGCUGGUGGUGUGUUUGUGGAGGAUACACAGCCAGGACUUGGUUGGCCUCAAAGUAAGCAAUCAAAUUACAUGAUUGCUGGAGAGCAGGGAGAGAAAGAAUGCUUGGAGCAAGACAAAAGUAAAACUACUUCUUAAGAAACCAGAGGACAGCAUCUUUAGCUAACCACAACUGCAGAACAGCCAUUGAUUUAGGUUCUGCACAGGAGCAACUGUGGCUGCUUGCUGUUUAUCUUCCUGUGUGGAACUGAUGUCUGUUGCCCUGAGCUACAGAAAAAGGCCAAUGAGAAUUAAUUUGACAUCAAAAGAAGAAGAACCAAGCCAUAUAAGCCUUCAUCAAAGGAGUAAAGCAGACAUGUAAUUGGGAGCUCAGAGUGAGUUAGGUUUCUGCUCACUCACCACAACGCUGCAGAGGAUGGAUCUGCUCAUGUACCCAGCCCUGGAGCGACCAGCACAGGGGGCUCCUACCUGCCCCCCUCUUAUUUCCUUACUUCCCCCAUACAAAAGCAAUACAGCCCUUGCAGUGACUAUACUGCUAUUCAUGGCUCGAUUUCCUUGAGUUUCCUUAUCAGUGGGAAUAAUUAGUGUGAACACUAAAAGCCCCUCAGUGGGAAUAAAGGGUCAGCCCCACAUCCCCCAGCACAGAGCAGGAGCUCAUUAUCUUGCAUGAAUUCUUCAUAAAUUGUAGAAGCGUAUUCAGCAUAUGGCCUUGUUCUGCUUUUCUCCCCAAACAGAGAGCAAAAAACAUAUAUUUUUGUUGAUAAUCUUCUCAUAUAAAUUUGAUUGGAAGUAAGAACAUUUUUUUAAUGGACUGUGUAUUCUGCAUCUGUGUUUCCUGUGUUAAAGAGAAAAUUCAAUCAUUUCAGUGCAAUUGUUUUAUUUACACCAGUUUAACCAGAAAAUAAAUGGCUACAGUAAUCUUCUUCUGAGUAAGAAAUUAUGCAGUUCACACCAGGAGGGUAAUCAGCAAUGAAAAAAGUUGUAUUUUCCUGACAAAGCUGGGAAUUCACGAAUGCUUCCAUGAUGGGCAAGAAACUAAACAUUGAAAUUACCUCAAGUCACUUCACAUGACAAAAUAGCAGUAUUUUAUUUCGUCUUUUCACUUCAAACAAAUGAUUAACUUGCAUUCAAAAUCCUGGCUUCAAAAACAGAAGAGUCUUUACUCCAAUUAAGCCUGGCACUGAGAGAUCUCAGGGAUACACUUUUGUUCUCUUGUAGGAUUUGAAGUAGAAAAAUUACUGAAGGAGCUCAAUGAGAGGGAAUCUGAAUGUCAGUUGUGACUUGUCAUUUAAUGAAUUUGCUAAAAGAAGGAUUUGAUUAGACAGCACAUAAUAACAAUUUGUCUAAUUAACAGGCUCAGGAGGAAGGAGGCGUGGCCAGAGCAGGUCUGAGGUGUCCAAUCCCCAUAGCUGUGGUGACUUGUUCUCAACCCAACCCCUCUUUUCCGUACUGCCCGUGGAGCAUGUACCCUACAACUCCCUCACUUUCCAAAUUACCUUCCGAAACAGCCACUCACUAGAUGUUGAUGCCUAAUGCUACAAACCCUUCCUGUGACUUCAGAAUGGCAGCCAAGCAUUUCCUGGGAUGCACCAAAGGGACUCCAGGCUGGGCAGGAAGGAGAAUUCCAGAACCAGAGCUCUGGGGAUAGCUCCAUGAUCAUAUUUGACUUAAUAUAGAGGUAUGAGAAGUAUUCUCUUCUGGGUAUUUUCAUUUUUUCUAGAAAUUAUGUCAUCUGCCUAGGAAGGACCUGUGCAGUAAGGCAGAGAUUAACUAAAAUAACCCACUCAGACAUGUCUAAUAAUGUGUCCACCCAAUAAGAGACUCCUUUUGUUGAAGGCCAGGAUGUUGUCCUGCAAGAAGGAAGGAGGUCAGAAACCUGCAGCUGCCCAUGGGAAUGGUGGAAACAGCAAAAAAGGGGCACUGUCACCUCCUGUGGCACCUGUGUUGAACAUCCUGCACUGCAAGAGGACAAUUUCUCAAAAGCAGCAACUGUCCAGUUGCCACUGCUGAGGGUCCAGCAUGAGGUGAGCAUUGUCCCACAGAUGGGGAGAUGCAAUGGCCAGGCCAGCACAGAGGCACAUCACAGUGCGGGUAUGUACGUGGUCCCUGAGCCCCAGCCUUUUCCAGGGCCUUUCCCAAGGAAGACUGAUUGCUUUACUUUGCUUUCAGCUCAGAUAACAGCUUCUAACAAGAAGCCAGAGAAAUCAAUGUAAGCUGCUCAGUGGUACCUCUGGAGUAGCUGUAAAACCAAUUCAGCAAUAUUAUAACCUUGAAAAUCCACCUUAUCUGAAGUGGGAUGGGUUAUAGCCAACACUUUAAUGACUUCAGACAUUUCCUUAGUACAGCAGAGAGCAGUACUGCAGAACAGAGCUGGCUCAGGGGUGUAUGUACUGCCAGUGCCUCACAGCUAUAAAAAGGUUUCCAUCUGCUUUGUUAAAAUAAGGUUGUUUACUCAAAAUGCCUUUGAAACAGAGAUGAGGAGUAGUACAAAUUGCUCUAGAAAGGAGUACUGCUAUUUAUGAUAAAUCUGGAUGGAAAUAAAGGUGGUGACAAAUGCUAGUGAUUACACUUGAACCAUGUGGACAGGUAGAAAUGCAAUGGUUUUGAUGUCCCUGCAAAGAGCAGAUUUUGGGCAAGAAUUUGUUUUGCAUCCACAGACCUUAUAAUAGCUUUGUGGGUUUUUUUUUUUUAUUAUUAGUUUUCAAUGGUAGGAUAUCAAAAUCAUGGCCCAGAGAAGAUCUGGAAGGAAGGUAAAGAGUUGCUGUGCAAAGUAAGGCUGUAUGGACACUUUUUGUGUCAGGGCAACCUAAAAAGGGGGUGCUGAGAGGUCCCACCAGCACAGAUUUUUUUAAAGAUGAAAAAUAUCCCAAAUCAGAGAAGCUUUGCAAGGCUUGAGACCUGUCCCCUGGACUAGGCCUGGCUAAAGGGCUUGGUUAGGUCAACAGGUAGAAGGCCACUAAUAUAGUCCAGGCAGUGAAAACACCCAGUAUCAAAGCCAAGGAGCUCCUGUGUGCAGCUGUGCAGAAACCCUGCUCCCCACUGCCUGGGACUGAGCAUGAAAACAAGGUGCUAAUAGCUAAAGACUGGGCUAUGCACCCCCUGAGCCUCUCAAAAGCACCUCCCUACCAUGACCCCAUCAGCAUGAGAUGUGUAGGAGCUUACAGGGCUUUCAUAUCCAUACAUCCAGAUAUCAAAAUGUGUUUUAAAAACUGAACCACUGCCAGACUUCAAUUAAUAUCCUUAUUAGUGAAAUGGCACAGGAAUGACUGCUGAUGAAAUUGCAGUGGCCCUGCACAGCUCUCCCACAGGAGGUGCCACUGCAUUCUGUAUUAUAAGGUGCAAGACCCACAAAUAUACAAAACCAGCAUCCUGCCCUUGGGAGCACUUAAAAAAAGGCUUUAAAGAAGAAUACAGGAAAGUAUUUGAA